rnacentral:misc_RNA from 1 species
AAAUUAAAAUGAUUUGACUUUGUGUUAUAUUCCGGUUUUUUGCAUUCGGAAUCACAUGAUUGAAAUUAAUCCAAACUAAAUUAAAUGUGUUUAAGGGGCAUGGUCACGAUUUUUGUAAAUUUAAUAUUAUAUAUAUUUAUCGUUUACAAUGCUUUAUAAUAACAUUCUUCUUAUUCAAAUCUUUUCAUUGGAACCCUUAGAAAUGGCACAGGUCAUCUUAUCGACAGGCUGGGUCAAUAUUGAAGAAUAAUUCACAAAGUUCAUUGCCAAAAGCAAAUGAUUUAAGGCUUUUUUUUAAUGAUUGUUCAAAAUCUUCUCAAGAUCAAACUGUAAUAAAAGAAUUCUUAAAUCAGUUCUUUUCAUACAAGCUAUCUGUAAAUACAAGUUUGUCAUACCAUGUCCCUUGGGGUCAGUAGGGGCACAUGAUGGUUCAAGGUUGACUUCAGAAUAAAAACAGCAUAACCUUUAUGAAUCUUCUAAAAGAAAAUAAAGAAUUCCACUUGU